CCUACGGGAGGCUGCAGUGGGGAAUAUUGCACAAUGGGGGAAACCCUGAUGCAGCGACGCCGCGUGAGCGAUGAAGGAUUUCGGUAUGUAAAGCUCUAUCAGCAGGGAAGAAAAUGACGGUACCUGACUAAGAAGCCGCGGCUAACUACGAGCCAGCAGCCGCGGUAAUACUUAGGGGGCAAGCGUUAUCCGGAUUUACUGGUUGGAAGGGGAGCGUAGACGGCGGUGCAAGCCAGAUGUGAAAGCCUGGGGCUCAACCCCGGGACUGCAUUUGGAACUGUGCUGCUAGAGUGUCGGAGAGGCAGGCGGAAUUCCGAGUGUAGCGGUGAAAUGCGUAGAUAUUCGGAGGAACACCAGUGGCGAAGGCGGAUUGCUGGACGAUGACUGACGUUGAGGCUCGAAAGCGUGGGGAGCAAACAGGAUUAGAUACCCGGGUAGUC
rnacentral:rRNA from 1 species